UCAGAGGCGAUGAAGGACGUGCUAAUCUGCGAAAAGCGUCGGUAAGGUGAUAUGAACCGUUAUAGCCGGCGAUGUCCGAAUGGGGAAACCCAGUGCAAUUCGUUGCACUAUCGUUAACUGAAUACAUAGGUUAACGAGGCGAACCGGGGGAACUGAAACAUCUAAGUACCCCGAGGAAAAGAAAUCAACCGAGAUUCCCC
rnacentral:rRNA from 1 species